rnacentral:rRNA from 1 species
UACGUAGGGGGCAAGCGUUGGUCCGGAAUCAUUGGGCGUAAAGAAGCGUGUAGGCGGCUCGGUAAGUCCGCUCUGAAAGCCCGGGGCUCAACCCCGGGAGGCGGGCGGAUACUGUCGGGCUAGAGUCCGGAAGAGGCGAGUGGAAUUCCUGGUGUAGCGGUGAAAUGCGCAGAUAUCAGGAGGAACACCAAUGGCGAAGGCAGCUCGCUGGGACGGUACUGACGCUGAGACGCGAAAGCGUGGGGAGCGAACAGG